GAUGAACGCUGGCGGCGUGCUUAACACAUGCAAGUCGAACGGAAAGGCCCUGCUUUUGUGCGGUGCUCGAUUGGGGAACGGGUGAGUAUCACGUGUGUAUCCUGCCCUUCUCUUUCGGGUAACUUCACGAAACUGGGGCUAAUACCGGAUAGGAUCUCCUGCACCGUGGUGGGGAUUGGAAAGUUUCGGCUGUUGUGGAUGUACUCGCGGCUUAUCAGCUUGUUGGUGGGGUAGUGGCUUACCAAGGCUUUGACGGGUAGCCGGCCUGUGAGGGUGAACGGGCACCAUGGUCCUGCGGUAGGGACCAGUAUGGAAUGGGAGGCAGUGGGGGGAAACCUUACACAACGGGCGGGAGUGUGUUAUAGAGACCUUCGGUGCGUAAUGACCGCUUUUGGGGUAAGAACAGAUGUCGACUGAGACGAAGCGGUCGUGACGGUACCGAAUAAAGAAGCACCGGCUAACUACGUG
rnacentral:rRNA from 1 species